ACCUGAAAUUCUGAGUUUGGUAACCAUUAGCAUAGAAGGAAAACUUAACACCGUGAAAUCUCUUUUAAGAGAGGAAAGCAGGGUAAUAUAGUGUCAAAUGGCUGGGGAGAAGUGAAAAAUGAUGAUGCGGGGAAGGUUCGGAGUGUAUCAUAAAACCAGAGAGCCCCAAAGUCCAGCUGUUCUACGAUGUGGUGUACAGUGGGGGAGAGGGCUCUAUCCUCUACCUUGGUUCCUUCAGUGUGGCACCUCCACUCAGCAUUCCCAAAGCCUGGUAGCCAAGGAACAAGCAAAGAAUCUUCAGGAGGAUAGAAGGGAGGUGAGAGGAAUGUUGUAAAUGCGCUUAGAUUUCUUUUUGCACUUUGACACACAUAAUCUCAUUGUCUUUUCUGAGAGUGGAUGGCCGAAGGUACCAGAGCUAUUAAUGGAGCUUCUGCGAAUGCCUGAGGCAGCAACAGAGGUAAGCUUUUUCCAGGUCCUACCAACCUGCCGGUUGAGGCCCCUGCAGUGCACAGAGAAGGGUGGGGAAGGGACCGCUGUCCCCCUCCUCCCUCUCCCUACUCCCUCAUCCCCAGCUGCACACGGACUACAGCCUCAUCCCAGGGAGGGAAAGGCCACUCCCCACCUAUCAUCUCUCGAGUCUCCACCAGCCUGGUGGGAGGAGAAGGCGCAGCAAGGAUGUCUCCUCUGCAGCUGCUGUUCACACAGAACAGGAGGGUCCCUCUCCCGUCUCACCCUGGGUCUCCAGCUAAGGUCAUUUAAAAUUUGUUCUGCCGCGUCACGUUUGUGUCAUUAGGUGGCAGAGAGAAGAGAGACUUGUCUACGCUCGGCGUUCUGGCCUGUGGACGUCUGGAUGAUUGAUAGUCUGACACUUGACAGAAAAGGACUUCCCUGGUGGUGCAGUGGUUAAGAAUCCGCCUGCCAAUACAGGAGACACGGGUUCGAGCCCUGGUCCGGGAAGAUGCCAUAUGCCACAGAGC